rnacentral:misc_RNA from 1 species
UCCGGUUCAUCCGUUCAUUUGCAGAUCAUAAAAAAUGUCAGAAGACAAGAACCAGCUGAACCGGCCUAAUAACGAGGGACCUAGAAUCAAGACAAGUUCCAUUGUUGAUGACUAUGUUGUACAAUGGAACCAGAAGCUUGGCACAGGCAUCAGUGGCCCAGUAAGGCCAUGUACAAAAAGGAACAAUUCCAAAAAAUUUGCCCUGAAAUGUCUGCUGGAUUCCCCCAAAGCUCGGACAGAGGUUAACCUGCAUACAAUGUGUAGUGGCCAUGACAACAUUGUGUCUGUGUUCGAUGUAUAUGCAAAUGAUAUACAGUUUCCAGGGGAACCACAUGCAAGACCCAGACUGCUGGUGGUGCUGGAGUACAUGCAAGGGGGAGAACUCUUCGACAGAAUCAGUAAAGAAAGUGGGUUCACAGAAAGAAAGGCUGCCAAAUACUUAAGACAGAUUGCCAAUGCAGUGUUAAGGUGUCACACCUUGAAUAUUGCCCACAGGGACCUGAAACCUGAGAAUCUAUUGAUUAGAGACAAUACAGAGGAUAGUUUGGUGAAACUGACAGAUUUUGGAUUUGCUAAAAUCGACGAUGGAAAUCUACAAACACCUCACUUUACCCCCUACUACGUAGCUCCACAGGUUUUAGAAGCUCAUAAAUAUCAAGCAAAGCAGAAGAGAGGAAUCAUACCGACCUCGAAACCAUACACCUACGAUAAGAGCUGUGACAUGUGGAGUAUGGGAGUGAUUCUGUACAUCAUGUUGUGUGGUUACCCUCCCUUCUACUCUGAGACACCCACCAGACAGAUCACGUCCGCCAUGAGGAAGAAGAUUCUCUCAGGACAGUACGAGUUCCCAGAGGAUGACUGGCAGUUUAUCUCAGAUUCUGCUAAAGAUGUUGUGAAAAGUUUACUGCAUGUAGAUCCCUCAUUCAGAAUGAACAUCCAGGAAUUACUUGGCCAUCCCUGGUUAAACGAAGCUCCAGACAACAAGCUACAAUCACCUGCUGUGUUCAUGGACAAGAUUGGGAUGGAGGACAUCAAGUUAGCACACUCUCAGCACCUAACAACCAUGAGGAUACCGGAUAACAAUGUCACACUCAAACCUCUCACAGACACAGAAAACCCGAUAUUUCGCAAACGGAAAUUAAGACAAACUAGUAUAGAAGAUACCAAGGAUAGUUUGGAACCCUCACCUCAGAAGGUCAAGGCUGACAACCUCAAGGUCAGAGCCCUAAGGGACAUCAUUGCCUACUGCGUCCUUCCCCCUAAAGUUGAUGAUGAUGAAAGUGUACUGAACAAUUUAGUGACCAAGGCCAUGCAGGAAUUAGAAGUCAAAAAUGGAAUUUGUAGUGUCCUUGAUUCAUGGAAAUGGGAUGGUAGGAAAUUCCAGAAAAAGGUAGAAAAAGCUAAAUUAGCACAGGAACUGAGUUUGUUAGUAAGAAGUAUAACAGAAUCUAAUUCACAUACGGACGAACCUGACUCCUGACAAGGAAUAACCUUUGAACUCGAUGAUUUAUAUUCUUACCAUCCCCGCACAAUGACAAUCCUGACUGCUGGCAAGGAAUAAUCUUGGAACUUCAUGUCUGAUAUGUAAGAUCCUCCUUCAUCAUACUCAAACUACAAAACAAAGAUCAAAGUACAUUUUCUUUGUCAUCAUAUGAUCAAAUACCUCAUCGUAGAAAUAUCUGUUUUUAAUGGUGAUAACCUUCUUUGAAACACUUCUGUUUCACAUUUACUAGAAUUCUGUUUCACAUUUACUAGAAGUCAAUUUAUAAUACUUCUUUUUUUUUAAAUUCACUAAAACUCACUAGAAGUCAAUCAGACAUAUACGUGUUUUUGAAUAAUAUUUUUGGAUAACUUACACAAGGUUUGUAAUAUGAAUGUUUGUGAACUUAAAUGAUUUUCUUUUUAAUUGAGAUGGAUAUAACUUACAUUCUUUUGAGUUUUUUUGCUUUUGAUUGAUGAAUCAAAAUACCUUGUAACUUUAUAAGCAGAUCUAUCAUCUGCAAAUUCCUCAUUUCGUUAUGAAGCACAAGUUGCCAUUGUUAAUAAUGUCAUUGACUCUGACAGAACCCAACAAACCAUGAAAUGGAUUAUCAAUUAUUUCACAAAUGAUAGCAUGAUCCUGAAAGGUCAAUGUAAUUCUGCAUAAUUGUUAAUGUUACUGACAUUUUUAAACUACAGCAAAGUAACACAGAUUUCUUAAAACACACGAAAUACUACAUCCUCUGAGUGAUGGCUUCACAAGUCAGGAAAAGAUUGAUGCAUACAAAAGGCGCAAAUUUACAUAUGACGGGGAAAGAAAAAAGGUAUAGGAGUCACCUGCCCAACCACGUGGGUUAUCUUUGGGUACUCCAAGAUUAAGACCCCAGCACACUAACAUCCUGGCCAACAAGGGUGAUUUAUAUAAACACUUAAACAUGUAAACCGGAUAGUUGAAGACUAUGUUGAGUAUUAAUGUAAAUUGUCGAUGAUUUUAAUCUUUAUAAGAAAACAGAUAAGGGUUAGAGUAGGACAAAUGUUGUGUUUGUCAGCAUUUAACAUCUUACGUGGAAAUCAUGACUGUUAGAGCAAGUCUGUGAAAAUCCAAUCAGCUGUGACGAAAAAACAUAGAUGGCAAAGCAGAGAGUUCCCUGUCGAGAAAUUAGGGAAUGCUGAUACAGCUUAGCAGUGGGUCAUUGCUGUUGGUAAUGUUACAGAUAGAGAUAAGUGGCUUACAUAGAAGUGGGUGUAGUGUCCUUCAUUUAAAGUUCCGGGGGAUAAAUACUAUCUUAUCAAACAUAGCACAUCAUCAACACAUCUGUAAGGGAAAUCAAACGACGUUGUAAGGUCUUUGUUACUGGUCCUGAUAGACUUUUUUUUUUAGCCUUGUAUGAAAAAACAACAACCUCAAAAGAUAUUUUCAACCAGGCACUCACAAAUUCACCUCUUCAUCCUUAGUAUAUGUAUCAUCAUUGCCAUUGUUGGGUCGUUGACAAGCUAUGCUUCAAAGUAUUUAACAACCAUCUGUAACUGUGUUUUUCUUGGAAAUGAAUGCAAUCAUUCAGCUUGGUAAGAGGCUUUGUUUACAGAGUACAGGGUGGAAAAAGUAAAAUAUUAUUGCAGAUGAAACAUUUUUGAUGACAAAAAAAUUAAUAUGUUCAAUAUUUACUUAAACAUAUUUUGAGUUCAAAAACUCAAUAUUCAAUUAAAUCCAUCUGUGAAGUAUACAGGAUCACAAUACAAACGCAACCCUGAUUGGUGUUAGAAGUUUGGAUAAUGGCUUGGCUGAGUCAAUAUCAUAGCCAUUCAUAAAACGAUAUGUAAAAGUAUUAUUUCAAAAUUUUGUAAUCUAAUACAAAGGUAUGCCUGUAUUCUUAUUUUUAAGAAAGACGGUGAUACAAAAGCAGAUUUAGGUAAUAUUUUAUCUUUGAAAAUGUGCAAAAUGUAGAAGCAGAGCUACUUUGGAUAUCAAGCAAGCGUAGUCAUUUUUCAUUGGUCAUGGUAUUCACAGCUGGUAUGAGUGCCAUAUGUUUUGGUAAGGUUAUUAUCAGUAUUUGUAGACAGGGAUACAGCUAUUAGAUGCUUUUUCUGCCGACACUAACACAUACUUGGGCGCAGAUCGUGAGUGUGGUUUAGAAGUAAGGUCAAGAAGCAUAGACUUGUGUUUGGUUUUCAUUUUGAAUUUCGAGCCGAUUAUUCUUACUGGAAUGAUGGACCUGGCAGACUUAACCCACUCUGGAAUUGUACCUGGUUCAGCAUGCUUUCGACUCACUCGGAAUCCAUUGAAGCAAAUACAAUGUUCGAACAUGGUGGACACCGGAUGGUUCCUGUAUCGUCCUCAAACGUAACAUUGUAUUCUGUUGGACUGUUGUAACGGCUUUGUCCAUGGCUGCGUCUCCUGUUAGGCGUGAGCAACGAUCUUACACUUAUACGAUGACAUCCGGGACUGAUGUUUACACGGGAUCUACACGGUAAUACAUCCAUAUGACGUAGCUAUAUAUAUGCUUGUCUUUUAUGACGUUAGGUGUUACGAGGACGUUAACCUAGACCAAAACUAAGGCAGUAUACUAAUGUAUAAUGAUGUAUUUGCCCUUUUUUGUUGAUGUUUGUAUUGCUAAUACAGGUGAAAUACUCUAUUGUAGUAUCAUCUUGUUUUAUCAUAGCUGUACAUUUGCAAAUGUAACCAAUUUAAGUGAUUUCAAUAGAAGAAACAUUAAGUAUCUUAAGUGUCUGUUUAAAGCUUAGUAAUGUAUAACUUUAUACUUUGUAUUGUUCAAUUCUAAGACAGCUACCAAGCAAGACAAUUAAUUUCAUCUGGAUACACUGUAAACACAUGUCAACACCUGGCAAUUAAUAAACACUGAGAGCUGAGACUAGAACCAAAAUAUAUAAAAACACAUGUCAACGACUGGCAAUUAAUAUACACAGAGAGCUGAGACUAGAACCAAAAUA